AGUGAAACCUGCAAAAAAAAUGUUUUACUCAAUUGAAAUCCUGUGCCAGGCUAAACUCCGGGUGCAGGCUUCCAAGCCCCUUGUAGACGGCAGCCAGGGCCUCAAUGGGUAGACAGUGUUUUUAACACUAUAGGGUCAGAAAUACAAGUUUGUGUUAGAUUUAAUACAGGUUUGUGUUCCUGACCCUAUAGUGUUCCUUUAAGAAGCCUGGAACAAAGCUCCGGACUGCCCAAGUCACGUGUGCCAGGAGUGUACCUAGUCCCUUGCACACUAGUGCAGAAUAUACCCUGUAUGUGCAGUUUCCAUCAGUAACGCUACACAUACAGAGCUUUACCACCAUCACCACUUCAAAUCACUGAAGUAACCCUUUAAUAAAGGCUAUGGACCUGCAAAUAAAUCAG